AUUGAACGCUGGCGGCAUGCUUUACACAUGCAAGUCGAACGGCAGCGCGGGCUUCGGCCUGGCGGCGAGUGGCGAACGGGUGAGUAAUACAUCGGAACGUGCCCAGUAGUGGGGGAUAGCUCGGCGAAAGCCGGAUUAAUACCGCAUACGACCUGAGGGUGAAAGCGGGGGAUCUUCGGACCUCGCGCUAUUGGAGCGGCCGAUGGCAGAUUAGCUAGUUGGUGGGGUAAAGGCCUACCAAGGCGACGAUCUGUAGCUGGUCUGAGAGGACGACCAGCCACACUGGGACUGAGACACGGCCCAGACUCCUACGGGAGGCAGCAGUGGGGAAUUUUGGACAAUGGGCGAAAGCCUGAUCCAGCAAUGCCGCGUGUGUGAUGAAGGCCUUCGGGUUGUAAAGCACUUUUGGCGGCAACGAAAAGGACUGUGCCAAUACCACGGUUCGAUGACGGUACCCGCAGAAUAAGCACCGGCUAACUACGUG
rnacentral:rRNA from 1 species